UACAGAGGGGGCGAGCGUUGUUCGGAAUCACUGGGCUUAAAGCGCGUGCAGGCGGCCCGGUAAGUGCUCUGUGAAAUCCGGCGGCUCAACCGCCGAACUGCAGGGCAUACUGCCGGGCUUGAGGUUGGUAGAGGAGCCUGGAACUCUAGGUGGAGCGGUGAAAUGCGUUGAUAUCUAGAGGAACGCCGGAGGCGAAAGCGGGGCGCUGGGCCAAAACUGACGCUGAGACGCGAAAGCGUGGGGAGCAAACAGG
rnacentral:rRNA from 1 species